GAGAUGAAUGGUGUAUUCACAGGAGGAUUCGGUUUUCAUCUACACCCUGCUUCAUGAACCACAACUGACUGACUGAAGUUGAAAACUCACUGAAGGGCAUUGUGUAUCUCACUUCAGGCAGCUGCACACAAAAUUGAUGGAAAAUUAACUUUCACAGAUGUGACCAACUCCUUGCUAACCAGAUCCAUCACUCGUCAGUCUGUGGAUUUGUGGGAUCCUGUUUCAGCAGUUUUGGAGCAGUUUGACUUGUCAGAUCCUCCUUGCCUACCUCCACUUCUCUAUUUCUUUCAUGGAUAUCCGUCACCUGUCCAA